ACGGAGGAUCCGAGCGUUAUCCGGAUUUAUUGGGUUUAAAGGGUGCGUAGGCGGUUUGGUAAGUUAGAGGUGAAAGCUCGAUGCUCAACAUCGAAAUUGCCUCUAAUACUGUCAGACUAGAGUGUAGUUGCGGAAGGCGGAAUGUGUGGUGUAGCGGUGAAAUGCUUAGAUAUCACACAGAACACCGAUUGCGAAGGCAGCUUUCCAAGCUAUUACUGACGCUGAGGCACGAAAGCGUGGGGAGCGAACAG
rnacentral:rRNA from 1 species